rnacentral:rRNA from 1 species
GCGGUACAGGAUGGACCCGCGUCUGAUUAGCUAGUUGGUGAGGUAAUGGCUCACCAAGGCGACGAUCAGUAGCCGACCUGAGAGGGUGAUCGGCCACACUGGAACUGAGACACGGUCCAGACUCCUACGGGAGGCAGCAGUGGGGAAUAUUGCACAAUGGGCGAAAGCCUGAUGCUGCAACGCCGCGUGAGCGAUGAAGGCCUUCGGGUCGUAAAGCUCUGUCCUCAAGGAAGGUAAUGACGGUACUUGAGGAGGAAGCCCCGGCUAACUACGUGCCAGCAGCCGCGGUAAUACGUAGGGGGCUAGCGUUAUCCGGAAUUACUGGGCGUAAAGGGUGCGUAGGCGGUCUUUCAAGCCAGAAGUGAAAGGCUACGGCUCAACCGUAGUAAGCUUUUGGAACUGUAAGACUUGAGUGCAGGAGAGGAGAGUGGAAUUCCUAGUGUAGCGGUGAAAUGCGUAGAUAUUAGGAGGAACACCAGUAGCGAAGGCGGCUCUCUGGACUGUAACUGACGCUGAGGCACGAAAGCGUGGGGAGCAAACAGGAUUAGAUACCCUGGUAGUCCACGCCGUAAACAAUGAAUAGGAGGUGUCGGGGGUUACCCCCCUCGGUGCCGCAGCUAACGCAUUAAGUACUCCGCCUGGGAAGUACGCUCGCAAGAGUGAAACUCAAAGGAAUAGACGGGGACCCGCACAAGUAGCGGAGCAUGUGGUUUAAUUUGAAGCAACGCGAAGAACCUUACCUAAGCUUGACAUCCCACUGACCUCUCCCUAAUCGGAGAUUUCCCUUCGGGGACAGUGGUGACAGGUGGUGCAUGGUUGUCGUCAGCUCGUGUCGUGAGAUGUUGGGUUAAGUCCCGCAACGAGCGCAACCCUUGCCUUUAGUUGCCAGCAUUAAGUUGGGCACUCUAGAGGGACUGCCGAGGAUAACUCGGAGGAAGGUGGGGAUGACGUCAAAUCAUCAUGCCCCUUAUGCUUAGGGCUACACACGUGCUACAAUGGGUGGUACAGAGGGUUGCCAAACCGUGAGGUGGAGCUAAUCCCUUAAAGCCAUUCUCAGUUCGGAUUGUAGGCUGAAACUCGCCUACAUGAAGCUGGAGUUACUAGUAAUCGCAGAUCAGAAUGCUGCGGUGAAAAAGUUCCCGGGUCUUGCACUCACCGCCCGUCA